GCGGCAGGCCUAAUACAUGCAAGACGAACGGUAAGCGGGGUAGCAAUAUUCCGCCCAGAGUGUCGUAAGGGUGCGUAACACGUAUGCAAUCUGCCCCCAACAGGAGGAUAGCUCGGGGAAACCCGAAUUAACCCUCCAUGGUAUCGAGGUCGGGCAUCCGGUUUCGAUUAAAACUGAGGUGGUUGGGGAUGAGCAUGCGUCUGAUUAGCUAGUUGGUAGGGUAAUGGCCUACCAAGGCGAUGAUCAGUAGGGGAACUGAGAGGUUGAUCCCCCACACUGGCACUGAGAUACGGGCCAGACUCCUACGGGAGGCAGCAGUAGGGAAUAUUGGACAAUGGGUGCGAGCCUGAUCCAGCCAUGCCGCGUGCAGGAAGACGGCCUUCUGGG
rnacentral:rRNA from 1 species